rnacentral:rRNA from 2 species
UGGCUCAGAACGAACGCUGGCGGCAGGCCUAACACAUGCAAGUCGAGCGCCGUAGCAAUACGGAGCGGCAGACGGGAGAGUAACACGUGGGAACGUACCCUUUGGUUCGGAACAACCCAGGGAAACUUGGGCUAAUACCGGAUAAGCCCUUACGGGGAAAGAUUUAUCGCCGAAGGAUCGGCCCGCGUCUGAUUAGCUUGUUGGUGAGGUAACGGCUCACCAAGGCGACGAUCAGUAGCUGGUCUGAGAGGAUGAUCAGCCUCACUGGGACUUUUUCUCGGCCCAGAGACCUACGGGAGGCAG